rnacentral:tRNA from 1 species
GGCCUGCUAACUCAGUCGGUUAGAGCGUCGUGCUAAUAACGUGAAGGUCACAGGUUCGAUCCCUAUGCAGGCCA